rnacentral:rRNA from 1 species
UACAGAGGGUGCGAGCGUUAAUCGGAAUUACUGGGCGUAAAGCGUGCGUAGACGGUUAUUUAAGUCGGGUGUGAAAGCCCCGGGCUCAACCUGGGAAUUGCAUUCGAGACUGAAUAGCUAGGGUACGGUAGAGGGAAGUGGAAUUUACGGUGUAGCAGUGAAAUACGUAGAGAUCGUAAGGAAGGCCAGUGGCGAAGGCGAGUUCCUGGACAGUUACUGACGCUGAGGCACGAAGGCCAGGGGAGCAAACGGG